rnacentral:lncRNA from 12 species
AAAAAUAUUCUCUUCAGAUAGAAAGAAGGCACCUGUCCCAGGAAACAUAAUAAACUGGUGGUAUUUCAUCCUGACUCAACCAUCAGCUUGGGUAUGCAAUGUGUCAUCUUAGCAGCUUUUAAGUAAGAACAAAAUUGGCACUGAAAUCCAACUUAUUUCUCUUCUACCCAGGCACUACCUAGAGUCCAUUGAAAAUUGGACUUCACGGUCAACUUGCUCCUUGCUAACAACUGAACAAACAAUUGAGGCAUUUGGCAGGCCAUGAGUGAGAGCCAGAGGUCAUUUUGAGAGGCUACGUUCAGCCCUUCAAUAAAUUUUAGGUAAGCCAUGUCAAGAAAGCGGUGAGGCUACAUCAUCACACUUCUGUUUGAUAUGCUGUGGUUCCACUUUUAUGCAACAAUCAUGCCCUAAGUAAAGAGCCAACCUACAUGGUCAAAAAGAAAGGGAAUGCCUUAAGUAACACAACGUAUAACUAACUCCUCGCUUCCUGGAUGGAAUUUAAAAUAGAGACUCCUGCUUUUUAACAGCAAACCACGGAGUGAUCAACAGUUGGGGUUGACCAACUGAGGUCAUGUAAUACUGAGUGCAAAUAAAAAGGUUCCCAGUAUUGUUCUCAAUGGUCGACCUUCUGUAACGUCAUAAACAGAAAAGACUUCAGCAGGUUCACAGGUCCUUCUGAAAUCCUGAGUUCAAAACACAUCACUCUGUAUGAUCAACCAAUGCAUUAUAGUACAGGGACUUUGCGUGGAUAUUUUUUAGCAUUUGUCCCUCACACCAGAAUUCUGUUUUACCAGAAAUUAUCACCACGAUUAUGGACUUUACACUGAAAACACUGGAAAUGCCUUUUAUCUAAAGAGCCAUUGACAAUCUUUUUUUUUUUUUCUCCAGUGGUUAGAUAGUAAAUAUUGCUGGCUUUACAUGCCCACUACUGAACUUUGCCAUCAUGGUGAGAAGGCGGUCAUAGAUAAUGUGCAAACAAAUGCAUAUCCUUGUUUUCCAAGAAUAGUCUAUUCAUAAAAACAGGUGGUAGGCUGCAUUUGGCCCAUGAGCCUUAGAUGGGAGAAGAUAAAGAAGAUGAAAAAAACUACAAUGCUGAGAGCGGUGUGUUU